rnacentral:rRNA from 1 species
UACGUAGGGUGCAAGCGUUGUCCGGAAUUAUUGGGCGUAAAGAGCUCGUAGGCGGUCUGUCGCGUCUGCUGUGAAAACUCAGGGCUUAACCCUGAGCUUGCAGUGGGUACGGGCAGACUAGAGUGCGGUAGGGGGGACUGGAAUUCCUGGUGUAGCGGUGAAAUGCGCAGAUAUCAGGAGGAACACCGGUGGCGAAGGCGGGUCUCUGGGCCGUAACUGACGCUGAGGAGCGAAAGCAUGGGGAGCGAACAGG